ACGGAAGGCAGCAGUGGGGGAUAUUGCACAAUGGGCGAAAGCCUGAUGCAGCAACGCCGCGUGAGGGAAGACGGUUUUCGGAUUGUAAACCUCUGUCUUUGGUGAAGAAAAAGGACGGUAGCCAAGGAGGAAGCCACGGCUAACUACGUGCCAGCAGCCGCGGUAAUACGUAGGUGGCAAGCGUUGUCCGGAAUUACUGGGUGUAAAGGGAGCGCAGGCGGGACGGCAAGUUGGAUGUGAAAUACCGCAGCUUAACUGCGGAGCUGCAUCCAAAACUGUCGUUCUUGAGUGGAGUAGAGGCAGGCGGAAUUCCGAGUGUAGCGGUGAAAUGCGUAGAUAUUGGAAGGAACAUCGGUGGCGAAGGCGGCUUGCUGGGCUUUGUCUGACGCUGAGGCGCGAAAGCGUGGGUAGCAAACAGGAUUAGAUACCCUGGUA
rnacentral:rRNA from 1 species